GGAUUUUAAAAAUUAUUCGCUAGAAAAAAGACCACGAACUUUGGAGUGGACAUCCUGAGACCUGCCUAAGAAAACCAUUAGGGUAAAGAAGUCACCCCUUCACCCCAGGACCAGGAAGCCUCCAGGAUGGCAUAAGCGACCAAACAGCUGGGAGCCAAGCACAGUGCAGGGGGCUUGGGGGCGGCGGCCGGAGGCUGGGGAUGCACAGGAAUCUGGGGGAUAUUAUGGUUCUGGGAAUGUGGAAUGUAACGUCUCAUCUUCAGCCCAUCUGUGCUACUGAUCGUCUCAUUCCAGAAGCUAUGCCUUCUCUCAGGAGCAGACUGCACAAGGCUUUCCUGCCAGAGGCACAGUCCCCAGUGGGUGUAGCAUUCACAUAAGACAGGACGCAGAGAUGU
rnacentral:antisense_RNA from 1 species